UACGUAGGGGGCGAGCGUUGUCCGGAGUUACUGGGCGUAAAGGGCACGCAGGCGGUGCGGCGCGUUUCGCGUGACAGCGGAGGGCUUACCUCUCCGAGGAUGCGAAAGACGGCGGCACUUGAGGGCCAGAGAGGGACACGGAAUUCCGGGUGGAGUGGUGAAAUGCGUAGAGAUCGAGAGGAACACCGGUGGCGAAGGCGGCCAACUGGACGAGUACUGACGCUGAGACACGAAAGCGUGGGGAGCAAACAGG
rnacentral:rRNA from 1 species